rnacentral:rRNA from 1 species
UUUUGAACGCGAAGAACCUUACCAGGUCUUGACAUCCUCUGACAACUCUAGAGAUAGAGCGUUCCCCUUCGGGGGACAGAGUGACAGGUGGUGCAUGGUUGUCGUCAGCUCGUGUCGUGAGAUGUUGGGUUAAGUCCCGCAACGAGCGCAACCCUUGAUCUUAGUUGCCAGCAUUUAGUUGGGCACUCUAAGGUGACUGCCGGUGACAAACCGGAGGAAGGUGGGGAUGACGUCAAAUCAUCAUGCCCCUUAUGACCUGGGCUACACACGUGCUACAAUGGAUGGUACAAAGGGCUGCAAGACCGCGAGGUCAAGCCAAUCCCAUAAAACCAUUCUCAGUUCGGAUUGUAGGCUGCAACUCGCCUACAUGAAGCUGGAAUCGCGUAGUAAUCGCGGAUCAGCAUGCCGCGGUGAAUACGUUCCCGGGUCUUGUACACACGCA